UGGGCGAAAGCCUGACGCAGCACGCCGCGUGGGGGAUGAAGGCUCUCGGGUUGUAAACCCCUUUCAGCAGGAACGAAAAUGACGGUACCUGCAGAAGAAGGCCCGGCCAACUACGUGCCAGCAGCCGCGGUAAUACGUAGGGGCCAAGCGUUGUCCGGAUUUAUUGGGCGUAAAGAGCUCGUAGGCGGUUUGGAUAGUCGGGUGUGAAAACUCCGAGCUCAACUCGGAGACGCCACCCGAUACUGCCAUGACUAGAGUCCGGUAGGGGAGCAGGGAAUUCCUGGUGUAGCGGUGAAAUGCGCAGAUAUCAGGAGGAACACCGGUGGCGAAGGCGCUGCUCUGGGCCGGUACUGACGCUGAGGAGCGAAAGCGUGGGUAGCAAACAGGAUUAGAUACCCUGGUAGUCCACGCCGUAAACGUUGGGCACUAGGUGUGGGCCCUAACCAACGGGGUCCGUGCCGCAGCUAACGCAUUAAGUGCCCCGCCUGGGGAGUACG
rnacentral:rRNA from 1 species